rnacentral:rRNA from 1 species
CUGGCUCAGGAUGAACGCUGGCGGCGUGCAUCAUACAUGCAAGUCGAACGAGAAUUGAUAGCUUGCUAUCAAGGAAAGUGGCGGACGGGUGAGUAAUAUAUAGGGAAUCUGCCCAUAAGAGGGGGACAACAAGGGGAAACCUUUGCUAACACCGCAUAAGAGUGUUGUUGAGAUACAAUACUUGAAAUGAUCUAUCGCUUAUGGAUGAGCCUGUAUCUGAUUAGCUAGAUGGUGGGGUAAGAGCCUACCAUGGCGACGAUCAGUAGCUGGUUUGAGAGGAUGAUCAGCCACAAUGGGACUGAGAGACGGCCCAUACUCCUACGGGAGGCAGCAGUAGGGAAUUUUGCGCAAUGGGGGGAACCCUGACGCAGCAACGCCGCGUGAACGAAGAAGCUUUUAGGAGUGUAAAGUUCUGUCAGUAGGGACGAAAAGAUGACGGUACCUACAGAGGAAGCACCGGCUAACUCCGUGCCAGCCGCGGC